rnacentral:rRNA from 1 species
GACGAACGCUGGCGGCGUGCUUAACACAUGCAAGUCGAACGGUGAACCUCUUCGGAGGGGAUCAGUGGCGAACGGGUGAGUAACACGUGGGCAACCUGCCCCCGGCUCUGGGAUAACUCCAAGAAAUUGGGGCUAAUACCGGAUGUUCACCGCUUCCCGCAUGGGUGGUGGUGGAAAGGGUUUCCGGCUGGGGAUGGGCCCGCGGCCUAUCAGCUUGUUGGUGGGGUAGUGGCCUACCAAGGCGACGACGGGUAGCCGGCCUGAGAGGGUGACCGGCCACACUGGGACUGAGACACGGCCCAGACUCCUACGGGAGGCAGCAGUGGGGAAUAUUGCGCAAUGGGCGGAAGCCUGACGCAGCGACGCCGCGUGGGGGAUGACGGCCUUCUGGUUGUAAACCUCUUUCAGCAGGGACGAAGCGCAAGUGACGGUACCUGCAGAAGAAGCACCGGCCAACUACGUG